rnacentral:rRNA from 1 species
UCCUGACGGUAGUCGUAUGCUCGUCUCCGAGACUAAGCCAUGCAAGUCCAAGUACACGUCCUUGAACGACGGAAACUGCGAACGGCUCAUUAAAUCAGUUGCGAUCUACUCGGCGUUCCGCGCCGCCGGAUAACCGUAGUAAUUCUAGGGCUAAUACGUGCGAAGCGCCCGAAGCCGCGAGGCGACGGGCGUUCUCGCCGGAUGUAGGAACCGACCCGGGGACCGCCGGGGCAACCCGGGCGCCCCCGAGACGGGGCGAACCACGGUGAAAUGACGGAUCGUCGGCCCCGCGCCGGCGACUCGCCGAAUGAGUUUCUGACCUAUCAACUCGAGACGGCGGGGUAGAGGCCCGCCGCGGUAACGACGGGUAACGGGGAAGUCAGGGUUCGAUUCCGGAGAGGGAGCCCGAGAAACGGCUACCACUUCCAAGG